GACGAACGCUGGCGGCGUGCUUAACACAUGCAAGUGGAGCGACGAACCGGGCUUCGGCCCGGGGCAGAGCCGCGAACGGGUGAGUAACACGUGGGUAACGUACCCCGAUGACCGGGACAACUCGAGGAAACUCGGGCUAAUACCGGAUGUGAUCCAUCCUCAUGAGGGGAUUGAUCAAAGGUAGCUUCGGCCUCCGCAUCGGGAUCGGCCCGCGGCCCAUUAGCUUGUUGGUGGGGUAAUGGCCUACCAAGGCUUCGAUGGGUAGCUGGUCUGAGAGGACGAUCAGCCACACUGGGACUGAGACACGGCCCAGACUCCUACGGGAGGCAGCAGUGGGGAAUCUUGCGCAAUGCGCGAAAGCGUGACGCAGCAACGCCGCGUGGGGGAAGAAGGCCUUCGGGUUGUAAACCCCUUUCAGUUGGGACGAAGCUUCGCCGGUGAAUAGCCGGCUGGAGUGACGGUACCUUCACAAGAAGCCCCGGCUAACUACGUGCCAGCCGCCGCCGUAAUAC
rnacentral:rRNA from 1 species